GGUUAAGUGACUAAGCGUACACGGUGGAUGCCUUGGCAGUCAGAGGCGAUGAAAGACGUAGUAACUUGCGAUAAGCCCAGAUUAGGUAGUAACAACCAUUUGAGUCUGGGAUUUCUGAAUGGGGAAACCCACGUGCAUAAGCACGUAUCCUUACCUGAAUACAUAGGGUAAGGAGGCGAACCGGGGGAACUGAAACAUCUAAGUACCCCGAGGAAAAGAAAUCAACCGAGAUUCCGAAAGUAGCGGCGAGCGAAAUUGGACUAGCCCUUAAGCUUUACACGCGUUAGACGAACGGUCUGGAAAGUCCGACGAUACAGGGUGAUAGUCCCGUAGUUGACGACGUGUGUUCAGUGAAAUCGAGUAGGGCGGGACACGUGAUAUCCUGUCUGAAUAUGGGGGGACCAUCCUCCAAGGCUAAAUACUACUGACUGACCGAUAGUGAACCAGUACCGUGAGGGAAAGGCGAAAAGAACCCCUGUGAGGGGAGUGAAAUAGAACCUGAAACCGUGUACGUACAAGCAGUAGGAGCAGGCUUUGUCCUGUGACUGCGUACCUUUUGUAUAAUGGGUCAGCGACUUAUAUUCAGUGGCAAGGUUAACCAUCUAGGGGAGCCGUAGGGAAACCGAGUCUUAACUGGGCGUUCAGUCUCUGGAUAUAGACCCGAAACCAGGUGAUCUAGCCAUGGGCAGGUUGAAGGUUGAGUAACAUCAACUGGAGGACCGAACCGACUAAUGUUGAAAAAUUAGCGGAUGACUUGUGGCUAGGGGUGAAAGGCCAAUCAAACCUGGAGAUAGCUGGUUCUCCCCGAAAGCUAUUUAGGUAGCGCCUCGGACGAAUACUACUGGGGGUAGAGCACUGUUAAGGCUAGGGGGUCAUCCCGACUUACCAACCCUUUGCAAACUCCGAAUACCAGUAAGUACUAUCCGGGAGACACACGGCGGGUGCUAACGUCCGUCGUGGAGAGGGAAACAACCCAGACCGCCAGCUAAGGUCCCAAAUUACUACUAAGUGGGAAACGAUGUGGGAAGGCUCAGACAGCCAGGAUGUUGGCUUAGAAGCAGCCAUCAUUUAAAGAAAGCGUAAUAGCUCACUGGUCGAGUCGGCCUGCGCGGAAGAUGUAACGGGGCUAAGUAGUAAACCGAAGCUGCGGCAAUAUACUUUUGUAUAUUGGGUAGGGGAGCGUUCUGUAAGCGGUUGAAGGUGUGUGGUAACGCAUGCUGGACGUAUCAGAAGUGCGAAUGCUGACAUGAGUAACGAUAAAGGGGGUGAAAAACCUCCUCGCCGGAAGACCAAGGGUUCCUGUCCAACGUUAAUCGGGGCAGGGUAAGUCGACCCCUAAGGCGAGGCCGAAAGGCGUAGUCGAUGGGAAACGGGUUAAUAUUCCCGUACUUCUUACAAUUGCGAUGGGGGGACGGAGAAGGCUAGGUGGGCCUGGCGACGGUUGUCCAGGUUCAAGUGCGUAGGCUUAAGAGUUAGGUAAAUCCGGCUCUUUCUAAGGCUGAGACACGACGUCGAGCACCUACGGGUGUGAAGUCAUUGAUGCCAUGCUUCCAGGAAAAGCCUCUAAGCUUCAGAUUGUAAGGAAUCGUACCCCAAACCGACACAGGUGGUCGGGUAGAGAAUACCAAGGCGCUUGAGAGAACUCGGGUGAAGGAACUAGGCAAAAUGGUACCGUAACUUCGGGAGAAGGUAC
rnacentral:rRNA from 1 species